UUUUUCUGUAGAUUAAUUUUUACCUUAUGUUUUAGCAUUAAGUACAAAAAUACAAAUACAAAAUCAUUUAUUUCGAUUACUCGUACAAAUUAACAUUUUAUGCUGACCCCCACACUAGGCGUCGCCUGUCUCGUGGGGGAAAUAGUAAAAUUAACAGAAAAGAAAAUUAUAGAAGCGGCUAGUGACAAGCUGAUUACUAAAAUUUAACUAAUCAAACAAAGAAAUGAACUAAAUGAUAAUAACUAUACAAGUAUUAAUUGUGUGUAUAUGUAGGUGAAAGUGUAUGUAUUGUGUAUAUGUGUAUUUGUUAGUACCUUAAGAAGAUUUACGGUUUCCAUAUAGGAUAGUUGUAUUAAAUUUCUUUGAUAAUAGCUCUUUAGACUUGAGGAUGGAGUGUUUAUAUAGCUGGACGAGUUUAUUAUAAAUCCGGGGAUACAAAAAGUUACAGGCAAUUUGUAAACAGUAACAAAGAAAGAAUGUUCUUGUACGAACGAAUAUUCGUCUCGAAGGACCAAUUUGACUAUGUAGGUACGAGCUGUUGUUACUAUACGACAGUCAAAAUAGCUCUUUAGCCUUGAAGAUGGAGUGUUUUUAUAGCUGGACCAGUUUAUUAUAAAUCCGGGGGUACAAAAAGUAACAGGCAAUUUGUAAACAGUAACAAAGAAAGAAUGUUCUUGUACGAACGAAUAUUCGUCUCGAAGGACCAAUUUGACUAUGUAGGUACGAGAUGUUGCUACAAUACGAUAGUCAAAGAUGUUGUUUAGUUACGUAUAUUUUUAUAUUAAAAGGGUGUUGUUGUGAAUUUCGAUGAACAAGCGUGGUAAGUAUUCGUCGCGAGAUCGUAUUGAUCGCGCUUGUCGUGUAAAGUGUUGAGUGAGGAAGGUACAAUAAAUAGGGUUAUUCCAGGACCACGCUCGACGCUUAAAGUUCACGUAACUUUCGCAUCAGGAGACUUCACACUAAACUAAACUCUUUCCCGCAAUACUUUAAGAUAGCGCAGCCGACCUUGUUUGUUCCUGAAGGAUCUGUUUAUCGAGAGGCGCAACGUUCUAAACACAUAUAUUAUGUAUGUUGGGCCUCAUAGAAAGCAUUCCUGGUGCUGUAAAUUGUGACAGCUGCGAAUUGUGACAGCUCCGACCAGGAAGAAGUGGACGCGGCCCCCGGAGACAGUGACGAUCAGACACGACACGACGCACUGACACAGUCUGACAGGAUCAGAACUAGAUAUAUAGCACAAAUAUUACCAAACACUAGCAUUCCGGAGAGGCAAUAGGCAACUGUAG